rnacentral:rRNA from 1 species
UGGGGAAUAUUGCACAAUGGGCGCAAGCCUGAUGCAGCCAUGCCGCGUGUGUGAAGAAGGCCUUCGGGUUGUAAAGCACUUUCAGCGGGGAGGAAGGCGGUGAGGUUAAUAACCUCACCGAUUGACGUUACCCGCAGAAGAAGCACCGGCUAACUCCGUGCCAGCAGCCGCGGUAAUACGGAGGGUGCAAGCGUUAAUCGGAAUUACUGGGCGUAAAGCGCACGCAGGCGGUCUGUCAAGUCGGAUGUGAAAUCCCCGGGCUCAACCUGGGAACUGCAUUCGAAACUGGCAGGCUAGAGUCUUGUAGAGGGGGGUAGAAUUCCAGGUGUAGCGGUGAAAUGCGUAGAGAUCUGGAGGAAUACCGGUGGCGAAGGCGGCCCCCUGGACAAAGACUGACGCUCAGGUGCGAAAGCGGGGGGAGCAAACAGG